GUUCUGAGGGAGCUCUUCUGUAUAUUUGGUUGAAUGUCUCCCUGUUCUGAACAAGGCGUGAAGUAAGAAAGGCAACACUUUCCCCCUCAGUCUGCUGCAGAGGGAAUGGCAGCGCGCUCUGUGUCAUUGGAGUAAAGGACGACACGGUUCUAGCUGCUAGGGCUCCGGGGGGAAACGCCAGGGCUAGGUGACCCCCCGAAAAACCCCCAUGGGUAAGAGGGGAUUCCAGGGGUCCAGCAGAGUGAGAGAACUCGCUUCACCCUGACCUCCCUAUCGCUGUCUUUGCAAGGCGAGAAGGGAAGAGGGUUGAGUCCGCUCACGGCUCCAUCGCACCCUACAGCCCAAGCCACAUGCCGUCUGCAAGCAGUGGAUUUUCCAAUUAGAGGUAAAUAAGACAAAUAAAGCCUGAAGAAGGAAUUUAGAUUAAAUUAUUUGAUUUGGCAAAACGGAAGUAAAAAAGGAAGUCAGCUUCCGAUUUCUGUGGACAGGCUCUGCAAGGGCUUUCUUUUCGUGAAUGGGAGCAGAGCACAGCAGCAGCAGCUAAUGGAGACUUGUUAGUAACUUUGUGUUUUAAGAGAUUGCCUUUCUUUUGGAUACAUAUUGGCUACAGUUGUGUCAGGUUGCUCUUCAAUAGGGUAACUAUGAGAUACAGUUGACAGUUGGAGAGAGAUAUUUUGACAGAUUGAAACUUUGGCAGAGUAGAAAGUUAAAAGCAAAAAAUAUUUUUGCCUGGAAAAGCUUGGGAAAUACAGGCUAUAAAAUCUUAAACCUGGGACUUGGAGGCACAAAACCGAAUCUAAGCAUGAGACCUCUCUAUCUACACUGGGGGAGGAAUCUCCCAGGAAGAAAAGAGAACCUGGAAUAGCUGAAGCUGGACCGGAUUAAAAGUGCUUACUGAAGACCAGGGAAAUUUAUUGCAACACUACCUGCCAGUAAGUAAUUUCUUAACACUUGCUUUCAUUCAGUUUUGCCUAGCAAAGUGUUAUCAGGAUUUCUUUUCUCUCCAGAUUCCGUCUGCGUUCUUUAAGUAACAACUAGUUCAUAUAGCUUGAGAGUCCCAUGGACUGCAAGAAGAUCAAACCUAUCCAUUCUGAAGGACAUCAGCCCUGAGUGCUCACUGGAAGGACAGAUCCUGAAGCUGAGGCUCCAAUACUUUGGCCACCUCAUGAGAAGAGAAGACUCCCUGGAAAAGACCCUGAUGUUGGGAAAGAUUGAGGGCACAAGGAGAAGGGGACGACAGAGGACGAGAUGGUUGGAUAGUGUUCUCGAAGCUACCAGCAUGAGUUUGACCAAACUGCGGGAGGCAGUGGAAGACAGGAGUGCCUGGCGUGCUCUGGUCCAUGGGGUCACGAAGAGUCGGACAUGACUAAAUGACUAAACAACAACAACAACAAAGUUCAUAUAGUCAGGGGCAGGGAAUUGGAUCAAAAUGGCAGGCCAAAUCUUUGCCAUAUUUUUCGCUCUAUAAGACACACCAGACCAUAAUAAGCACCUAGUUUUUGGAGUGGGAAAACAAGAAAAAAAAUAUUCUGAAUCUCAGAAGUCAGAACAACAAGAGGGAUCGCUGCACAGCGAAAGCAGCGAUCCCUCUUGCUGUUCUGGCUUCUGGGAUAGCUGCGCAGCCUGCAUUCACUCCAUAAGAUGCACACACAUUUCCCCUUACUUUUUAGGAGGGAAAAAGUGAGUCUUAUAGAGCAAAAAAUACGGUAUCUGCCCUGCUGCUGUGGGCCAACUUCGGACAGGGCUGCCAACAGUGAUGCCACCUGGCCCACUUUCCUUUACCCGCACAGUAUGAAAUCAAGCCAUGCAGGCAAAGGUACAACCAGCUGAUUUGUGGAGCUUGCAACGCCUAGGCCUUUGUAGGCGCCAACAAUCAGAUGACUGACAGUGCUGUAAAGGGCUGUGACAUUGCUCCAUAACAAUCACUGUUGCUUCAGUGCCAUUGUUGGAGCUAUUGUUUAUCGCUAGGUGUUCUGGAAACCUUAAGAGCAGAUAUGCAAAACCAGUGGCGCUCUAGGUGAUGUUGCACUCUAUCAACCCCAGUCAUACAGUCAGUCAUCAGGAAUGAUGGGAACUGUAGACCAGCAACGUCAGAUUGCCUCAGCAAGCUUUGACUGAAGGCGAGUCACCUUCGCUUGCAAACAAGUUGCUCAAAGUGGAGAGCCCACAUUAGAUAAGUUCUGGGAUGCGGGUGGCACUGUGGAUUAAACAACAAAGCCUAGGAGUUGCUGAUCAGAAGGUUGGUGGUUCGAAUCCCUGCGAUGGGCUGAGCUCCCAUUGCUCGGUCCCUGCUCCUGCCAACCUAGCAGUUCGAAAGCACUUCAAAGUGCAAGUAAAUAAAUACGUACUGCUCCGGCGGGAAGGUAAAUGGCAUUUCCGUGCGCUGCUCUGGUUCGCCAGAAGUGGCUUAGUCAUGCUGGCCACAUGACCCGGAAGCUGUAUGCCAAUAAAGCCUUGGCCAAUAAAGCGAGAUGAGCGCUGCAACCCCAGAGUCGGUCACAACUGGACCUAAUGGUCAGGGGUCCCUUUACCUUUAAAUGAGGCUAGAGGGUCCCUAAUGGCUCCCCACGUCACCUGCCACCUUGGCAGACUAGCAGGCUGCAGUUCCCCUUUUCACCACAGCCAGGGGGAGUGCUGUGGAGCAGCAAGGCUCCAUGUCUAAACUGUUAUGGUGGUGCAGAGGGUAAAGGAGCCUGGACACCAUAUGCAGAUCCCUAUUUUGGAGAUGCUGGUGCCUUUCAGAAAGUGGUGUGAGAGAGAAGUGUUCUGCACAUUUAAGAAGAUUCCGCACACAUGCAUAGAUCAUUGACUUCCCAUUGAAAGAGUGGGUGGAAAGGUUGAGCGGGCGAAGAGAUUGCCGGUGGGCGCAGCUACAGUGCAGUGCCACAAAUCAGUAGCAGCAGCUGAGUGACCAGUUAAAUGUCCUACGAAACUGACGGGGGUGAUUUAGUGCAGCGCAGACAUGAACCUGACAGCCGUUACAUCACUAUAAACCAUGUUUAUGGUGAUACAAUUAGGGAUCCCGUCAAUACUGCUUAGCAGUCCUGCCGUGAGUUUUGCAAUGAUGUUGCAGCAGAACCGACAUGGAGCAAAUAUCUAAAACUUGCCCAAAUAUCCAGUGCCAUUAAAUUUUAAGAUCUGAAAGUGAAAAUUCUAAUUUGCAUGUUGACUGGGAAUGUUUUUACCUUUGCAUCCAGUUGCUUCAUGACUUGACUGGCAUCCCUUGGAUAUUUUGGCACGGACCGAAUCGGGAGUGUCCUAAACUUCCAACUAUACCAUUGCAAGUCGUUCAGAUACUAAGUGCAACUGCAUGCUAAUUAUGGAAUACCAUCAUGAGCUAAACACCACUGCAUGUUCAUAAACAAGACUGCUGAAUACUGAGCUCGAAUGUUGCAGAAAGUCAGGUGCAGAUAUCAAAUAUUUGGGAAAUAUUUCUUAAAAAUCAAGUGAAUGUCAGAGAAUACAUAGAGCGGGGUGGAGACACUUCAGGCCUGAGGACUGAAUGUGGCCCUCUGGACUUCUUUAUCUGGCCCUUGGUCUUUUCCCAGGACACAAACCCUCCCUGGCUAUACACUGAACCUGUUUCACUCCUUCCUCAAAUGGUUUUGCCUGGCUGAAAUGUGUUGUUGAACUCUCACAAUGCUUCUUGCUUGGCCAAAUGGAGAAUGAAGAGGGAUGUAUGAGUGUGUGCAGAUUCACAGAAUCCUAGAAUCAUUGUAGGGUUGGAAGGGAGCCCAGGGGUCAUCUAGUCCAACCCCCUGCAAUGCGGGAAUCUCGGCUAAGCAGCCAUGACGGAUGGCCAUCCAACAUCUGCUUAAACACUCUGAGGAAGGAGAAUAAUAACCUCCCAAUUUUUUCCUGAUGUUUAGUCAGAAUCUCCUUUCUUGUAACUUGAAGCCAUUGGUUUGAGUCCUACCCUCCAGAGCAGGAGAAAACAAGCUUGUUCCCUCUUCCAUGUGACAGCCCUUGACAUAUUUGAAGAUGGCUAUCAUAUUGCCUCUCAGUCUCCUCUUUUCCAGAAAUUUAUAUUAAUUGCACUGCCCACUUAUAGCUCUGGACCCACCUAGUACUGCUAUGUGCUCAAAGGUUUGGCCAGAAAGAAAUGCAGGCCUUGACCUCACUCCUGAUCUGGAGAAUAUUCCACUUCCAUAUUCACAGUGGAAAAUUGGGAGGUGAUGAUUUUAAUUUUUUUCUAAAGCCAGCUCCUUCCAGCUCUGCAGACUUUUGGCACCCCUGUUUUACUUUGGCCCCCAGGUGCUGUGUCAGAGGGAUCCCUGCCAAUCCAUUAAGAGGUUUAUUAAAAUUUGAUGCUCCAAUUUAACACUUAUUAGCAAGCGCGAUGCCCUUUCGGACGCACGGGGAGCUUGGUAAAUGGAAGGGCCGGCUCCCAACCAAAGCCUUAAGUGGCAGGCUUUAACUUUAU